AAGGAUUUAAGUUAAUAGAAACUCUUAACCUUCAAAGUUAAAUAUAGAUGGUAUCUAAGCCUUA
rnacentral:tRNA from 1 species